rnacentral:tRNA from 1 species
GCCUGGGUGGCUCAGUCGGUUAGGCGUCUGACUUCGGCUCAGGUCAUGAUCUCACAGUUCGUGGGUUCGAGCCCCGCGUCAGGCU